AACGCGAAGAACCUUACCGGGGCUUGACAUCCUGCGACAUCCUACGAAAGUAGGCUUCCGAGCAAUCGGACGCAGAGACAGGUGCUGCAUGGCUGUCGUCAGCUCGUGCCGUGAGGUGUUGGGUUAAGUCCCGCAACGAGCGCAACCCUUGUCGUGUGUUGGUCCACAAGAUCUCUCACGCGAGACCGCCGGUGAUAAGCCGGAGGAAGGUGGGGAUGACGUCAAGUCAGCAUGGCCCUUACGUCCCGGGCUACACACGUGCUACAAUGGGUCGGACAACGAGCUGCGAACUCGCAAGAGUAAGCUAAUCUCUUAAAUCGACCCUCAGUUCGGAUUGAAGGCUGCAACUCGCCUUCAUGAAGUCGGAAUCGCUAGUAAACGCAGAUCAGCUACGCUGCGUUGAAUACGUUCCCGGGCCUUGUACACACCGAGUAUA
rnacentral:rRNA from 1 species